ACAGUGUCGCGAUAGUAAUUCAACCUAGUACGAGAGGAACCGUUGAUUCACACAAUUGGUCAUCGUGCUUGGUUGAAAAGCCAGUGGCGCGAAGCUACCGUGUGCCGGAUUAUGACUGAACGCCUCUAAGUCAGAAUCCAAGCUAGCAUGCGACGCCUGCGCCCGCCGCCCGCCCCGACCCACGUUAGGGGCGCUUGCGCCCCCAAGGGCCCGUGCCAUUGGCUAAGCCGGUCCGGCCGAAGUGCCGCGGUCGGCCGCCUCGAAGCUCCCUUCCCAACGGGCGGUGGGCUGAAUCCUUUGCAGACGACUUAAAUACGCGACGGGGCAUUGUAAGUGGCAGAGUGGCCUUACUGCCACGAUCCACUGAGAUCCAGCCCCAUGUCGCACGGAUUC
rnacentral:rRNA from 1 species